CUACCUACGGGGGGCAGCAGUGGGGAAUAUUGGGCAAUGGGCGCAAGCCUGACCCAGCAACGCCGCGUGAAGGAAGAAGGCUUUCGGGUUGUAAACUUCUUUUACCAGGGACGAAGAAAGUGACGGUACCUGGAGAAUAAGCCACGGCUAACUACGUGCCAGCAGCCGCGGUAAUACGGAGGAUGCGAGCGUUAUCCGGAUUCAUUGGGUUUAAAGGGUGCGCAGGCGGGCCUUUAAGCCGGCGGUGAAAUCGCGGGGCUCAACCCCGCCGAGCCGUCGG
rnacentral:rRNA from 1 species